rnacentral:tRNA from 1 species
GGAAUAGCUCAUUGGUAGAGCAUAUGCUUAGCAUGCAUAAGGUCCUGGGUUCUAUCCCCAGUACCUCCA